rnacentral:SRP_RNA from 1 species
CCGUGCUAGACGGGGAGGCAGCGGUGCCCUGUAACUCGCAAUCCGCUAUAGCGAGGUUGAACUCCUUUUCGAGGUCCGCACGCUGCAAGGCAGCCCCAGGCACGUGGUGUUGACGCCCGGGUCCUGCGCAACGGAAACUCACGAACCCUGUCAGGUCCGGAAGGAAGCAGCAGUAAGUGAGACCUUCCGUGUGCCGCGGGGCAACCUGGGUUGAGCCGGCGACCUGAGAAACGGUUGUGGCGCGCUCAUCGACAAAAGGUGCACGG